GCGCACCCAGUGAGCCCACACUGCGAAUCGGCCGUGUAUUGCAACUCCAACCAAACAAACGCGCUGCUUGAACCUUCAUCAGAUCUAAAAUUUUAGCUCCCUCGUUCUCCCUAGAACUCUCCGCCCAUUUCAUGUCAAAUCCUAUAAUUCGCCAUCUCUCUAUUCUCCUUGAUACCGCUUUCUUCCAAAUCGUUCAAUGGGUUUUUUUGAUAAAUCGCGCUUUAAUCCUGUUUCUUCCAACUCUCAUAAUCUAGAUGAGUAGAAUAUUUUCAUCUCUUACAAUUUUGUGUUAUAUUUUCAAGCCGAUCUAUAGAGAGAGAAGGAUGUCGACCUCGUGCUACACUCGACGUUCGCUUCGGCUAUUGCGGUCGAUCUUGUUGAAUUUGUGGUCAAAUUGGUUUGGGAUCUUGGAUUUCUUAUCUUUUUGGAGGAGAUAGUUUUCAUCCAGUGUGACUAUGGGCAGUCAUGUGGUGGUAAGGCCGUAAGGGUGGGGAAGGUCCGAAGGGGGAAGAUGAGAAGGAGAUAGACGGGAGAGAUGAGAAGGAGAUAGAUUGGAGAGAUACACGAAAGAGGAGGGAGGGUGCAGGGUAAGGGGUGUUGUGUCGAUUGAUAUGGGCUUGCAGAAGGUGUUUUAGGAGGGAUACCAACAAAAUUAUACACAACCAAACCAUCAGAGCAUAGCCAACAGUACACUGAAUCAUUGAUUAGUAGUUUCAUUGUUCACGGAGAAAAUUUCAAAGCUAACCGUGGAAUAGCAAUGCUGCAGCAUAUUCUAACUCAGCAGCCGUUUAUUUCAAUAAAUAAAAUCCAAUCCAGAUGCGUUUGUUAUGUGAAUCCACAGUGAAAGAUGUCCUUCACCUUUUUGUUUGGAAUGGAAUGUGAGACCAAACCAGAGUAUAAUUUAAACACAUCAAUUAGUCACAGUGCAACAGGCAUUCCAUGGCUACUAGCUAAAGGACUCGACACGUUUACCUCUAUCAGUGAAAUGAUUCCUGUAUCUACAGUGCCUGAUCCUCAUAACUUGGAGCUGUGGUUGGAUGUUGAUGGAGAAUCGAAGCAGAAAGGAUCAACAAAAGACAUGAUAUUCAAAAUCCCAUUCCUGAUUAGCUACAUCAGUUCUUUCAUGACACUUAUGGAAGGAGAUGUCAUCCUAACAGGUUUUCUUGAUUUUACACAAAAAUCUCAAACAAAGGAGAACGAAAACUACGGAGAAGAAGAACUCGCCGAUCUCUACUAGGCCACAAGACAAGGUUACAUAUUGGGCAAUUAGUAAAGGAUACUUCAGAUAAACUCAAACAAGCAAGUGACACAGAUCAUGGCAAUAAUGUCAGUGCAAACAAGAAGAUUGUUGACGCAAAACUUGUAAAAUAUUUCCAAGCAGUUUUGAAGGAAUUCCAGAAGGCUCAACGUCUUGCGGCAGAACGGGAAACAUCAUAUACCCCUUUGAUUCCUCAGGCUGUCCUUCCUUCUAGGAUAUUUGCUGGGUACAACAAAACACUGAGGGUGUUUGAUGUACAUCGCCCUGGCGGAGAUUUUAAACAACAUUCAACUCUUCAAGGAUCCAAAGAAAGGGCAGUCUGGAACCAAUGUGUGUUAUGUGGAGAGGACGGAUGCCAUUCCUAAGCUGCCUGGCCAAAUAUCAAAGUCGGGAACAACUGUAAGCCAGAAUCACUUCACUUAAAGAUUUCUCACUAACUCUUUUUUUCACUACGUAAUCUGUAAUUUCUAUAUCAAUGAAUGGGGAGCAUUUUCGACUGGACUUCUGUUGACUGAAUAUGAUAGGGGAAUGGAUGCUGCUAGCAUCAAUCCUGGUGAGCAGAUAUUUGAGAAAACAAUAUCAUGUAUGUACCUCGGCGAGAUUGUGAGGAGGGUGGCAUGGGAAGAUUUCUCACUAAUAUCGAGCAAGCAUCGUUCCUCUCCAUAAUCAAGCCAAAUAACACGAAGGGGAUAGGACUCAAAUGGAUGCUCAGGAACAAGCUUGAUGAACAUGGAACAAUAGUCAGGAACAAAGCAAGGUUAGUUGUUAAAUGCCAUAAUCUACAGGCGGGUACUAAUUUCAAAGAAACUUUUGCUACUGUUGAUAGAUUAAAAACUAUAAGAACCUUAAUUGUUUUUGGAGCCUUUACAGAAAUUAAGUUGUACCAAAUGGACGUCAAAAAAGCUUCCCUAAAUGAAUAUUUAGAAGAAGACGUCUAUAUGGAACAACCUCCCGAUUCUAAAUAUCCUGAAUUUCCAAACCACAUAUAUAAGCUUGACAAAGCUCAUUAUGGGUUAAAGCAAGUUACUAGAUCGUGGUACGAAAUAUCAUCUAAAUUCCUUCUGAAAAAUAAUUUUAAACGAAAAAACUUUAUUUUUAAAAUCAAAAGGAACUGACUCACUAGUUGUACAAAUUUACGUUGAUAAUAUACUAUUUGGUGCAACUAACGAAAGUAUGUGCAAGGAUCUUACAAAGUAAACAAGCAGAGAGAAGCACGAGAAAAUGAGACUGGAACUGGGAAUGAUCAAGCUAAGUUAAGGAAGCAGGAAGAUCCUCUCAAGGUAUAACUUUAAUAUUAAAUACAUGGACUUCGAUAUAUAUUCAUAAUUUUAUGUGCGAAAGCAUAGCUGAAGUUUACCAUCGUUAAGGAUCAACCUACAAAAUGAAAGUGCAUAAUAUAUAAUUACAUAAACUACCAAUAAUACGAGAUGCAAAAUUAAGUUGUUCCACAAACAGGUUAUUUGCAAUAUUUUAUUUUAUUUUCCGAGAUCCUCUCACAUCUUUUAUUUUUUUUAUUUUUAUCAUUUAUUUUCUUUUACGUCUUUUAUUAUUUAUUUUUCCACAUAUAUAUACAUCCAUCCUAAUUCUCAUAAAACUCCUCAUAAUUUGUUUAAUCCUUAAAUUUUUCUUGUUUCCAACAAUUAAGAAACUAAUGAAACAACCUAUCCCAAUGGAACUCACCUACCCAAGCCCCCAAAAAGAAUAUACACAGUCAAACCUCUCCUCCCCUCCACCUUGUUCCCCUCUCACACUCUAUUCCCCACCUCUUCAUCUCCCUUCAUCAACCAUGGUGAGAACAAGUAUAAACAAAUAUCUGAAAACUAAAAUAAAGACAUUCACUUCCCCUAUUCCCAUGGAUACAUCCCCAAUUCAUACUUCAAAACCACUCCAAACUCGUUCUCCACAAAAAACCCCAAAUUUUGGAACCUUGCUCGACCCAUUACCGGCAAAGAGUCAAUUCUCACCGGCAACAAUAGUGGCGCUUCGCAAGGGGAAGGAGUAGUCGGUCGAACGUUGGGGGAAUUGGGAAGUGGGCGGUGGUCAGAAAAGGAAGCGGCGAAUGUCCUCUCGUCCAAGAAGGUUUAUUUGGUUGAAGGUGUUGUAAUAAAUAAGAUUAGAUUAGACCGAAUCGGUCAGUGAUGAGGAGGAUGUAAGUGAAAAGGAGGAAGAGUCUGUAAAAGUUAAGAAAGUGAAAAAGGUAGAGAAACAGGCGAAAGAGAAGAAGGUGAAAAAGGGUGUUCCUAAAUCACCUACAUGAGGGAGAAGGAGUAUGCGGAUUGCUACUAAAGGAGCAAAAGUAAGUAUUCCUCCUGCAUAUGUUGAUAUAUCCUGUGAUGAUGAGGAUGAAGAGGGGGAACAAGGAGAGGAGGCUAUUAAUAUUGAAAAUAAGGAGAAGGAACAAGCAUCCCAACCCAAGGAUGUUGUUCCUAAUCCUAGAGUAGUACCUGUUCCUCCCCCUACAGCUGUUCCUGUUGGUUUUAGUGGUUUUGGUGGCUUUCAUUCUUUUGCUAGUUCCUCUAGUUCCUUGGGAUCACAGAAGGAUCCCUCCAUUGAGGAACUCAAGGAGCAGGUUGGUCAACUUAAGGAAAUGAUGGCUAGGAUGUUAGAUGUACAGGAAGGCACGGAUGCAAGGAUUGUUCAGCUACAGGCAUAGGUGGGUGCUUUAGUGUCAAUAAUCUAGGAAAUAGGAUCUGGUCUGCAUCAACUCAACACUCAAGUAACUACGAGUUCCUCUACUAUUCUUCAGAAACUUGAGACUGAUCCUUUCACCACCUAAGCCUAAUCGUCUACUUUGAUUGUUCCUUGGUUUAUUAUUUGUUUGGAACUUUUUCUUUUUUUUUUUCUUUUUGGUAUGUAACCCUCUGUUGGGAAACAUCUAUUUUUAUUUUUAUUUUUUUUUAACCUGUGGAACAUUAAUUAACCCAUCUCUAAAACUUGGUUGCUUUAUUUAAAUAUAUAUUAUACUUACGAUUAAUUGUGCAUGUUGAUACUUCACUUUGAGGCUAACUUAGUUUGUCAAACGUUGAUCGUGGGGUGCUAUGAAUAUUAUAUUGUUGCCUUGUAUUUUUUUUCUUUUUGUUAAUGCCAACAGGGGGAAAAGAAUGCAAACUUUCUUAGAAUGAUCUUACCUGUUUCCAUGUAUCUCAUUAACUCUCUUCUCACUAUAAGGUUUUUUUACGUUCAUUUUUUUAUUGUUUUUCUUCUUCAUAUAUAAUAAAAAAAUUAAAGUGUAUUUUCUUUAUUUUUUUAUGUUGUUUUAUAUUAAACUAUUUAUUUAAUUUAAUUGUACUUGAAUGCUUGUUUAGGAAUGCAAAUACGUUUGAUUUCUUUUGGAAAAAGUUUGCUUAUGUUGUCAUCACCAAAAGGGGGAAUAUUGUUGAUUCUGAGUUUUGAUGAUGACAACGCAAACUUCCUAAUUAUUGUUUAAGUGUGUUAUUGUAAUGCUAAGUUAGGGAGUGCCUGAGUUGGACAAACUAAGCAUGUGGAACAAACACCAAGCAAUAUAAGGAGCUCCUAAAGAAUCAAUCAGUGUGCAAAUGUUAUCAAUGGUUGAUCCUCAGGAAGUUGAUCCUCAAGAAGUUGAACCUCAAGAGAUUGAUCCUCAAAGAGGUUGAUCCUCAACGAGGUUGAUCCUCUAAGAGGUUGAUCCUCAAAGAAGGUUGAUCCUCAAGAAGGUUGAUCCUCAAGAUGGUUGAUCAUCAAGAUGGUUGAUCCUCAAGAUGGUUGACCUAAAGAUGGUUGAUCCUCAAAGUGGUUGAUCCUAAAGAUGGUUGAUCCUCAAUGUGGUUGAUCCUCAAUGUGGUUGAUCCUCAAAGUGGUUGAUCCUCAAAUUGGUUGAUCCUCAAAGUGGUUGAUCCUCAAUGUGGUUGAUCUUCAAAGUGGUUGAUCCUCAAAGUGGCUGGUCCUCAACGGUUGAUCCUCAACAGUUGAUCCUAAACAAGUUAUUAAGGGUGUUCCUCAUAUAUUAUGAGGAUCAUCAAUGUUCCGGAGAAGGAACAAUGCAUGAAGCGUUCAAGCGAAGCUUCAAAAGGUGCCAACAUGAAAGCUACAACAUAUGAGUUUAUGUUUAGAUUUUGUGUAAGUAUUUUAAUAUCGUUUAUGCAUAAUAUGGAACAAAAGGAACACGUGCAUUUUAAUACGUUUUGAGAAAAUAAUUUUUGUAAAUAAAAUAAAGUUUUAUAAAGGAAAAAUCUUUGGCAAAUUAAUAAAACGAUUUUAAUAAAAUCAGCAUUGGAUUCUGAUUCAGAAUUCCUUGUUUUCCAAGAAAAGGUUUUUACUUUUUCCUAAAACUACUCCCACUAUUUUCUCUGAACUGAACGUGUUAAAAGUGGUUUGAAAAAGUCUUCCUGUUUCUCACAAUCAACGUGCACGUUACUGCUCCCAGUAACUGUUAGUGGCAGUUGAGGGGAACAUGGGAAACUGACCUAGGAAGUUCUUCUAUAAAAGGAAAAGAAUUUUCAUUUCUCAAAUCACAACUGACAACGUGCAACAUUUCUAAAGAACUUAAGAGUUUUUAUAAAAGUCAGUUUACAAAAGAGCGUGUUUCUCAAAGUUCCUUUAUUGUACAUAAGCUUUAUUGAAUACUAGAGUUUUCAUAAUUCGAGUUGUAAUUGUGGGGUUAAGGAUCGAGUGAUCCUUGAGUUGUGGGGUUAAGGAUCAAGUGAUCCUUGAGUUUUGAGUGUAAGGGUUGAGUGAUCCUUAAAGUGACUUAGAGGCAAGUCAGCGAGAGAGUGUGAAAGGAGCAAGCACAGGAAUCAACGGGGGAUUGCUGUGGGGACUCGCACUAGUACAUAAUGAACCUUAAGUAACACCCAAAAAGUGAUACAUAAAGUGGUAAAAAUGUUACUAUAGACAAUAGGUAACACUUUAGUGGGUGAUACAUCCGCCCAUGUUCCCUAAGGUCUUAUGUAACACUUUGGGUAACGUAUGGUAACACUUUUAAAAGUGUUACUAUAGACCCUCUUAUGUAACACUUUUUUAUAUCAUUGGUAUCAUUUUUAAAGUGUUACCUUUUAUUUCUUAUGUAACACUUAUUUAUCUAUAGUAACAUUUUUCAAUCAUAUAGUAACACUUUAUUCGACAUUAUGUAUCACUUUUAUGAACUAAUGUAA